GCCGGGCUUGGUGGCGCAAGCCUGUGACCCAAGUGGGGGCACCAAGGUGACUGGACGUGGGCCGAGCUCAGAAGGCUGGGUCUGGGUUAGCAAAUUGCUGGUCCGCCCGUUCCAAGUGGAGAGUUGAGGCAUAUGACCCAUUCGAAAGCUUAGGCCUUGUGGUUCCUAGAGCGGAGGGCAAUGCGUGAGGCUGGUUUCACAGAGCAGCGAAAACCUCCCGCUCUCUGCGGUGGAAGGAUUACGGACCGGUGCUUCUCAGACCCUUUAACACCCAAUGAGCUGGUCACAUCGAACGGUUCCAUCUUUUUUAUAUGCUGGUUUGGUAAAGCUUUCCAUCUACCCAGUAAAUAAGAAAAGACGAGAGGAUUUCGCUAUUUUUUCUUUAUGUUGGAAUAUUUGUGAUUACAAGUUCUUGAUAAGCGUAUUGGUUUUGCAUUGCAGGCGACAAAAUUGUCCGGACAACGCUCAAACACAAGCUAUUUGGGCUUGAAGGGACAUGAUGAAAACCCGUGAAUCAAGUUAGGUAGAGCGAGCUCGGGUGGAAUUGGGACAUAGCUUGUCUUUGGAUGAAGUUACGUAGUAAAACGACCAGUUUCUAUGUUGUGGGCUCUUUCAAUUCUGUUGAGUUUGGGAAGUAGUUAUAUACUGCAUCUUCUUGUACAAUCAAAGUUGUGGGCUCCGUUGUGUCCGAUGCAGUUGUUUCUGAUAGUAAGCGUUGCAAUAUUUUGGGAAACAAGCAGUUAUGAAUGACUGAAUUCGGUCAUGUUCUUGGUUUAAUGGCUGAGAUGUUUACGUUUAGCACGACUAACUUCCGUUUGGAAAGGGCUUAGCAGCAGCAGCAGCUUGAUCAGGGUCCUGAGAGAAAGCGCAGUCCCACAUCGGUAGAUUUAGAGAAGAUUCAAUAAUUUAUAAAGACAUGAAAGUGGGAGACUUAUCGCUGGGCUUGGUAGCGCAAGCCUGUAACCCAAGUGGGGGCAUCAGGGUGACUGGACAUGGGCUGAGCCCAGAAGGUUGGGCCUUUGGUUGCUAAUUCUGGCCCGCCCGCUCCAAGUGGAGAGUUGGGCCAUGCGAUCCAUUCGAAAGUUUGGGCCUCGUGGUUCCUAGAGCGGAGGGCAAUGCGUCAGGCUGGCUUCACAGAGCAGCGAAAACCUCCCGCUCUCUACGGUGGAAGGACUACGGGUCGGUGCUUCCCAGGCUCUGUAACGCCCAAUGGGCUGGUCUCAUCGAACGGUCACCUUUUUUUUAAUUUUAAAUUGGGAAAAAGAUACUGCUUCCCCCCAUUUUUUAUAUAAAAAAUUUCCGUUUCUCGACAUAUUUAUAAAAAAUACAAUCACUCUUACCGACGCAUCCAAAUCUUCGUAUGACGGGGAAAAAGAUACUGCUUCCCCCUAUUUUUUAUAUAAAAAAUUUCUGUUUCUCGACAUAUUUAUAAAAAUUACAAUCACUCUUACCGACCACACAUCCAAAUCUUCGUAUAGGCCAAUGAAUGCUUGCCACAUAGACGUGUGAUCGGUAGGUGUGUUUAUAGCAUUAUUGAUAUAAAAAAUAUCGUAAAUCAAAAAAAAAAGUUACAUUAAUUCAAAAACACCGUAAAUUGUGUUAAAAUAAGUUUGGUUGUUAAGGAUAAAUCUGUUUCUCCAUAAAAAUAUUUUUUCAAGUUUACCCUUUUGUUUUCUUAUUUUAACCUUGUAGUUUCUAUUUAUAAAUGUUUCCAAUCUAGAUGCAGAUGCAUCUUUUAAGAAAUAAAAUUUGGGUUUGAUAGAAUUACAAAUUGAAAAAGGCACUCGCAAAAAAAAUAUAUUCAGUUUUGGGUAUUCGGUUUUUUAGAGUGGAAGACUAGUACUAGAGAGAGAAAUAUGAGAAGGUUUUGGGUGGUUAGUAGGAAAGUUAAUAGUUAGCCUUGGAAAACACACAUUUACACUGUUAAAGAAAUACAUCUUCGGAUAAAAUAUUCAACCACCAUCGAGGGCGGAACGAAAAAAGGACGAAUAGGGGCAGCUAUCCCCAUUGAGUUCUAAAAAAUCAUUAAUUUUUUUUUAUGCAUUUAUCUUUUUUAAUUAAAAAAUAAUAUAAUUUGCCCCCACUUAUCAAUGAAAUAUUCAACUUUUUAUUUUUAAUUUAAUUAGAAAUAAUUUUGUAUAUGGUUCUAUAUAAGUUUUGCCCACUGACAAAAAUUUCUGGAUUCACCCUUGACCACCAUUGUAGUCGAGCUCCACCGUGCGCCACCAUUAAACUAUCGUUCUAUAACAAGUUCGGCGAGCCACUUCAGCGAUGUAGCCCGGACAACGAGUACAAUGACCAUCACAGAGCAGCGAAUACAUCAGGUUGGGCCCGUUGUUGGUAAUCGCUGGUCCACCCGUUCCAAGUGGAGAGUUGAGCCACGCGGCCCAUUCGAAAGCCUGGGCCUUGUGGUUCCUAGAGUGGAGGGCAAUGCGUGGGGCUGGUUUCACAGAGCAGCGAAUACCUCCCGCUCUUUACGGUGGAAGGAUUACAGGCCGGUGCUUUCCGGCCCAAUAACGCCUAAAUGGGCU
rnacentral:lncRNA from 1 species